rnacentral:SRP_RNA from 1 species
GCCCAGGUCCUAUGCAACGUUUGGCUCGGACAAUGGGUCAGGUCUUGACGGAAGCAGCCCACCUGGGUUCAGGCGGGUGCCAUAGAUCAGCCUGGGCCAU